UACGGGGGGAGCAAGCGUUGUUCGGAUUUACUGGGCGUAAAGGGCGCGUAGGCGGCCACCGCAAGUCGACUGUGAAAUCUCCGGGCUUAACCCGGAAAGGUCAGCCGAUACUGUGGGGCUAGAGUGCAGAAGGGGCAACUGGAAUUCUCGGUGUAGCGGUGAAAUGCGUAGAUAUCGAGAGGAACACCUGCGGCGAAGGCGGGUUGCUGGGCUGACACUGACGCUGAUGCGCGAAAGCUAGGGGAGCGAACGGG
rnacentral:rRNA from 1 species